GGUUUCCGUAGGUAAACCUGCGGAAGGAUCAUU
rnacentral:rRNA from 1 species